GAUUAACGCUGGCGGCGUGCCUAACACAUGCAAGUCGAGCGGCAGCGAGUUUUACACUGAAUUCUGGAAGCUUCUAGUUGAAAGAGAAGAUUUAUUCAAGAAUUUUGUGUAAAAUGUCGGCGAGCGGCGGACGGCUGAGUAACGCGUGGGAACGUACCCCAAAGUGAGGGAUAACGCAUCGAAAGGUGUGCUAAUACCGCAUAUGGUCUUCGGAUUAAAGCCUUCGGGCGCUUUGGGAACGGCCUGCGUAAGAUUAGAUAGUUGGUGGGGUAAUGGCCUACCAAGUCGACGAUCUUUAACUGGUUUGAGAGGAUGAUCAGUCAGACUGGAACUGAGACACGGUCCAGACUCCUACGGGAGGCAGCAGUGAGGAAUCUUCCACAAUGGGCGAAAGCCUGAUGGAGCAACGCCGCGUGCAGGAUGAAGGCCUUCGGGUUGUAAACUGCUUUUAUAAGUGAGGAUUAUGACAGUGACUUAUGAAUAAGGAUCGGCUAACUACGUG
rnacentral:rRNA from 1 species